AUCCAAAUAGUGUAGUGGUUAUUACGUUUGCUAUACAUGCAAAAGGUCUCUGGUUUGAACCCCGGGUUUGGGUA